rnacentral:misc_RNA from 1 species
GCUGCCCAUCAAGNCCGGCUUGUGUGUUGGGUCGUCGUCCCCCCCGGGGGACGGGCCCGAAAGGCAGCGGCGGCACCGUGUCCGGUCCUCGAGCGUAUGGGGCUUUGUCACCCGCUCGAUUUAGGGCCGGGCGGGCG